rnacentral:lncRNA from 1 species
GAGGACUCACUGCAAAGAAGCCAUGGGAGGAGGACCCCGACUCGGAUGACGGCUGCUGGAAGAUCACGCACUUAUUCGGCCCACAGACAGGCUCCGCUUAUGGCUUAUCCAAGGUAUCUCCUUGUGCAGCUUCUCUCUCGCUCGUGUGCCUUGUGCAAAUAAAUAAAGCUACCUAGCACCGGCUCUUAUUUCUCUAUGCCUACGUAGUGUUUGUGCCGAUUCUUAUUUAUAUGUGCCUACAUGGAAUGCAAUUCUUAUUUGUCUGAACCAGUGAGCAUUUCAUUCAGUUUGUUUCUGUCCAUGAGUAACAAUUUUUUGGAAGCAUAUGUACAUAUUUAGGAAUCCAGCUAUGCUUUGUGCACUUUCUGCUGAGCUAGGGAAUGUUCACUUCAGCUAGCAAGAACCUGUUAGCGGCUGUGAUAGAUCAAAAGUGAAAGGAGUGGUUGCACGCUUAUUAUUAAGAUAAAGGACAACUCCACACCAAUGGUGAUGGAGAUCUGUUUAGUAACCUCCUCAUUUUGGUUCUGAAGUUAUUUACCCUUUUCAGUGAAGGAACUGGUUUUGCGGCAUCAGUUGAACUUAGUCAAAUUAUGUGUGUUGUGUAUGUAGGUUGGAGCUUCACCGGCGCAUGGUUGUGCUCAGAGGAGGACCGCCGAUGCCCGCCGCCGCUGUCGUCCACAUGCUCCUCCUCACGACCACGGGUGGACGUUGGCUGAGGUCUAGCCUCCCAUCCAUGCGCAGGUACUCCCCACUCCCCUCUGUGCCCUCUCUCUGUUAAACUAAGGAAGGGAGGCUAUAUGUUUCAUCUUGUCAAUCUAAUUUGUCUGCGCAUAUUAGUAUAUAGUCACAUUCAGAAAAGCUUGACUGCAUAGUAAGAGAGUCUGUAUCUUUUUGUUUUUCAGAUUAUGCAAGAAUCUGCUUGGUCUGCAUAUUAGUACCGACUAGCGAGCACAGGAACGACGACUUGGACCUGACGACUUGGACGUUGGCUGAGGUCUAGCCUCCCAUAUGCAUAUUUGACCAGUACUACAUGCGGCCCGCGAGCAAAGGUCGUCCGGCCAAUUCUGACCCCACCAGUCAUGGAUUCUUAUACCAGCCCAGUAGGGUUGUUCUCCAUCAUCCUCGUGCCCUACUGUAUGUACACUCGCUUAUGUGUUCUUGGAUUCUUAUUUUCUUUCUUUUGUAGGAUCCAUAGGAUUAUUGUUUUCUCUGAAUUUGUCCUUUGGUGCAUUGUGUUUGCUUAUUCAGGUCGAUGGGGAGGAGAGGAGCAGCGAGGCUGGAGCUCCAGACGACGCACAUGUCGCUGGGUGGAGGAGAGGCCAGCUACGGGGCGCUCCUGUCACGAUGUGGUGAGAUGCAAGGGAGGGGUAGGAUGCCGGUGACAGUAGAAGGAGCAGGCCGGUGUAGAGGGCAAGCAGCACAGGAAGGUAUGUAUUUCUUCACACUAUCUUCAUUAUUUUGCAACUUGUAUUCAUUUUCGCUGAUAAUCCUUUUGCACUUUUGUUUUAUCUAAUCCAUUCCAAGCUUAUAACUGGUGGUGUUUGGUCUUCUACUAUUUUGGCUGGUGCUAGAUUAAGAAGGAUAUGAAGCUUUGUAUAGUUUCAUGGAUGGGGUUUGGGUGUCCUCAUGAGAGCAGUUCAGUGCUUGCACCUCUGCAACCUCGCCAACAUGGACAAUCACUGGUAACAUCUUUUUACCAUAUCCAGUUAUUACCUCCAUUUUAUGCAGUUUCUUUUCGAACUGAAUGAAGUCUCGAGGUGGACGUGUGAGCUCUUAUUUUGUUGUUCUUGCUGUUGUGUAUAUGUCUUCAUGCAUCUAAACCGUUAAAAAUUGCAAAACUAAAUGGGUUGGGGGAGAUAUGGCUAUGGUGUUUAUUCCUUCACAUUGGUUUAGGUAUUUCUGAAUUGGUUCACUCUGAAAAAAGGUCCGUCACGGUUUGAUUUUUGCAUCUUCAGAAAGUGCAGUUUUUUUCUAGCGUGGAUCAUCCACACCUUCUUCUCCCCAGUCCUCACUACUUUGUUGGCACAUGUUUCAUAGAAUAGAACACCUUUUUAACGUCAUAUUUCAUGCUAUACAGUGUGAUGGAUCAUUAGAUGGCUAGCCUUUUGUGGCACUCAUUGACGAAUUUUCACUUUAGGAGUUCUUGUGGCCCCUUGGUUUUUGAGUAUGUUCAUGUUGAGAAAUUAUAGUAAUAAGGAGGGAUACAAUAAAUAUUUGUAAGCUAGGUUGCUUGCCUAAUCAAGCUCACAUGUGGAUCAUUUACUGUUCUGCGUUAUUGGAGUUUUGCUACAGUAUUCAUUCAGAAAAAUAUGAGUGGCAUGUUGCAAUAUGGUGCUCAGCACGAAAAUGAUAUUUGAAAUUGCAUGUUCUAUGACAAUGGUGUAAUACCAUAAUAUUUACAAAUUAUAAUUUGUUUCUGACUUUGCAACCGGAAUGUGUUGCCUUUAGUAAUAUGUAGGCCCACUGUUUAUUUCCAGCAAGACAUGAUAAAUAUUGUUCUUCAGAUUACUUCAGUGAACUGAUAAAUAGCGGACGAGGCUAAGUUCAAGACCUUGAUUUAGAAGUAGAGUUUUUCAAUCAUAGACAUGUUUCUUCCUAAAAAGGAAUUCAAGCGCAGCUACUGUUGACUCUAAAAAGGGAUUUAAAAUGUUUUCGUUUAUGAAUUUUGAUCUGAAGUUAUCAACCUUCUCUGAAUUUAGGCUAAACUUAAACAUGAAUUUUAGGUCAUGAGUACAGGAUCAAGCCACGGAUAUUUACGGCACGACAUGGAGUAUUUGGUGGAACUAGCUAUGGAAGUGUGUCCCUCCAUGUUGUAGGCAGACCGUGAUAUGGUGAAUUAUUUCUUAGGCACGACACUAUGAGCUCCUGUUUUGCAGCACAUGGAUACUUUUCGGCAUAAAUGUCAUGGGUCCAUGAUGCCUUACGUACCUCUGAACCUAUGACUCUAGAGAUAAUUUAAUAUAUUUCUGGAUUGUUUCGCUCUGGUUACAAAUAUUGUAAGAUCCUCUUUCACUAACACUUUCAAGUUUCAAAUAUUGUCAAAUGGGGUUCACAAUACUAGGUCUUUCUCAAUUCAGAUUCUUAUAUAUAUCCAAAAGGG